UUGUGAUGUACCUACUGAGUAUGGCCAACGGCAGCUUUUGUAAAGUCAUCAGGGAUGACAAUUCCUUCCUCCAGGGAUCUAGGGCAGACAAGCAUCUCUGGACCACCCUGGAGAUAAGCAGCAAGAUGGGCAGAGUCAAGCACAUGACACUGGGCAAAAUAUUAGGGUGAUGGAAACCUUGGUCUGGAUAACUCCACCACCUAAUAAUCUCCUGACUGGCAGUGGAGCCUCUGGCAUUGUCAUCAAUGAGCAACUUAGAUUUCACAGCAAGAGGUGCAGUAAGUGGCAUUUGCAAGAUAUACAGCACUGGAAGUUCUCGGCUGCUGGCUGUUAGGUUAGCAUUGAGAAGGAAAGAUCCUGAGGUUUGUCACUGCUGUAUAUCACCGCAGCUGUGGCCUUUGAUUACACUGGGGCACCACCAGUCAUUAAUAACAGGGAAAGCUUUUUGUCUGGCAAAUGCAUCGUCGUACAAUCCUUUCUUAACACCUAAGCAUCUUGGUGUGGUAGCCAACGUAAAUUAAAGAUGAAGAUUGUUUAUUUUAUAGCCACACUUGUAAAAAUAGAGGUGGCCUUUCCGGAGCCAUUCAAGAAAAUGUAUUUUUCCUUGUUUUAAACCUUGAAACGUUUUCAUAUUUUGCAAUUUGCUCAAGGGAACCCAGUCAUUAAGUCUCACUCGAACAAACACUAUGAGCACAAUGUAAUUACAAUUUUAAUUUCAUCACUGUCACACUCAUUUGGCUACCAGAGAGAGGGUUACAAAAUAAGCUAUCAUCCAAGACAACAAUCGCUGCAUUGACUUAAAGACCCAAGUGCAUCCACGGUUGAAGAUUUCUUGAAGAGCAUGAUGUGAAUGGAAUUUGCAAAUAGAAUGCUUUCCAACAUAAGAAAAGAAAAAGAGAAAGAAAAACCCAACAUGGUCAGAUUUGCUGCAUAUUAAAUGAGUUGCUUUGGAAGGUUGAUGCCACUAGCCAUUUUUCCAGAAGUUCUACUUUCCCCUCAAAAGUCACCCAAAGUUGUCCAAUUGCUAGGGAAUGUGAUUCACAUUAAACUAACACAUAAUAAAUGGACUUAUAAAUUCCA
rnacentral:lncRNA from 1 species